rnacentral:rRNA from 1 species
AACGAACGCUGGCGGCAUGCCUAACACAUGCAAGUCGAACGAGACCUUCGGGUCUAGUGGCGCACGGGUGCGUAACGCGUGGGAACCUGCCCUUAGGUUCGGAAUAACUCCCCGAAAGGGGUGCUAAUACCGGAUAAUGUCUUCGGACCCAAGAUUUAUCGCCUUUGGAUGGGCCCGCGUUGGAUUAGCUAGUUGGUAGGGUAAAAGCCUACCAAGGCGACGAUCCAUAGCUGGUCUGAGAGGAUGAUCCGCCACACUGGGACUGAGACACGGCCCAGACUCCUACGGGAAGCAGCAGUGGGUAAUAUUGGACAAUGGGCGAAAGCCUGAUCCAGCAAUGCCGCGUGAGUGAUGAAGGCCUUAGGGUUGUAAAGCUCUUUUACCCGGGAUGAUAAUGACAGUACCGGGAGAAUAAGCUCCGGCUAACUCCGUG